rnacentral:tRNA from 1 species
GCGAACGUGGCGCGGCACGCGCGGGCCCGGCAGGUCCGCGUCACGCUGUCGUUCAUGGACGACGUGGUCGCGC